GAGGGACAUGGAGGGACAUGGAGACAGGAUGUGGGACAUGGAGACAGGAUGAGGGACAUGGAGGGACAUGGAGACAGGAUGAGGGACAUGGAGACAGGAUGUGGGACAUGGAGACAGGAUGAGGGACAUGGAGGGACAUGGAGACAGGAUGUGGGACAUGGAGACAGGAUGAGGGACAUGGAGGGACAUGGAGACAGGAUGUGGGACAUGGAGACAGGAUGAGGGACAUGGAGGGACAUGGAGACAGGAUGUGGGACAAGGAGGGACAUGGAGACAGGAUGAGGGACAUGGAGACAGGAUGUGGGACAUGGAGACAGGAUGAGGGACAAGGAGGGACAUGGAGACAGGAUGUGGGACAAGGAGGGACAUGGAGACAGGAUGAGGGACAUGGAGACAGGAUGUGGGACAUGGAGACAGGAUGAGGGACAAGGAGGGACAUGGAGACAGGAUGAGGGACAUGGAGGGACAUGGAGACGGGAUGAGGGACAUGGAGACAGGAUGUGGGACAUGGAGACAGGAUGAGGGACAUGGAGACAGGAUGUGGGACAUGGAGACAGGAUGUGGGACAAGGAGGGACAUGGAGACAGGAUGUGGGACAUGGAGACAGGAUGAGGGACAUGGAGACAGGAUGAGGGACAUGGAGACAGGAUGUGGGACAUGGAGACAGGAUGAGGGACAAGGAGGGACAUGGAGACAGGAUGUGGGACAUGGAGACAGGAUGACGGACAUGGAGACAGGAUGAGGGACAUGGAGGGACAUGGAGACAGGAUGUGGGACAAGGAGACAGGAUGAGGGACAUGGAGACAGGAUGUGGGACAAGGAGACAGGAUGAGGGACAUGGAG